UCCUUCUCCCUGCUCCCUGGCUGCCUUCCUGGGCCGCGGAAGCCAUUUCCCUGCUGGAAGAGCUGCUGUGUGCCCACUCGGUUCCCAGACUGCCGUCUCCUUCCGUGCCCAACAGAAAACGUGCCUUUUGACGACGGCGUUUUGCAAUGCUUGUUACCCAUUUGUGAGAUGCUCCUCCAGAAUUGCCACUCACGCGUCCAUUUCACAGAUGGGUCACCCAGGCUGCUGCCGCCAGGGAAGUGGUAGCGGAAAAGCCGGAGUUGCAGCAAGGCAGGCAUCCCAGGGAGGGCGUCCUCCUGGCACAGGCCGGAGGAGGGCGAGCCCUGUGCCACCGAGGAGCGCCCCGGGAGAUUGCAGCAGCUAAUCGGGGGAUGGAGAACCCAGCCUUCGCUCUCCUCCAGCCUUCGCUCUCCUGGCCGGCUCGUCCUGUGAUCUGGGAGACGCUCCGAGUCCACGGAGCAAGAGGCACCGUCACGUCUGCUGGGAAGCUCUGUGGUGCUGAGGCCCUGCUGUAUUUUGAGCCAGAAUGGGGAUUGGGACCCACGCCUGCCAGCUCUCUCUGGUGCCUCUUGUGUGCAGAGACCACAGAUGUCAAAAGGACACACAGAUACAGCGUUCCAUCCGAUCUGUGGCCCUCAGCGAGGCAUAGUGAAGUGCUGGCUUGUCACGCAGCCCUGAGCUAAAGAAGGACUGGGACGAUUCCUAGGUGCGUUAGGCCGAAUCUGAAACCCUGGUGGUAACCUCGACUAAGUUUGACCUCCAACAGGUGGGUGUCUGCAAGCCAAGGGGCAACUGCUGGAGGUUGGUCCAGGUGCUCUGUGGCCCUGGGAAGAGUCUAAGAUGUGGUCCAGGCUGGGACGAGGUCAUGACUUUGAGUGCCACCCUCUCGUUGCCGUGGUAACGAGCUGCUUCCUGGGUACUUCCACAUCCCUUGGGGUAGGACAGGUCAUGUGAUGUACUUUGGCAAUGAAAUGGGAGAAGGUGAUUCCUGCCCCUUCCUGAAGGAAGCCUUGAGUUUCCUGGGUGGGCUCCACCAGCACCGUGGGAGCAAGGACAGGUCACUCCGAAGUCACCCAC